GGGGAAAUGAGAAUAGGGUAAAAGGGAUGAGAGGUGAGACAUACUCACGAGAUACUUCUCGACAUACUGUUUAUUAUAGAGUUGACUAUUAACACCAUAGUAAUAUAUGCUUAAUAUCUAAU